rnacentral:tRNA from 2 species
GUCGGGAUAGCCAAGCUUGGUCCAAGGCGGACGCCUCGAAAGCGUCUGUGCUCUGCACACGGGGGUUCAAAUCCCUCUCCCGGCG